rnacentral:rRNA from 1 species
UACGUAGGGUGCAAGCGUUAAUCGGAAUUACUGGGCGUAAAGCGUGCGCAGGCGGUUCGGAAAGAAAGAUGUGAAAUCCCAGGGCUCAACCUUGGAACUGCAUUUUUAACUACCGGACUAGAGUAUGUCAGAGGGAGGUGGAAUUCCACGUGUAGCAGUGAAAUGCGUAGAUAUGUGGAGGAACACCGAUGGCGAAGGCAGUCUCCUGGGAUAAUACUGACGCUCAUGCACGAAAGCGUGGGGAGCAAACAGG